rnacentral:rRNA from 1 species
UAGCUAAUCCUGGUCGGACAUCAGGAGGUUAGUGCAAUGGCAUAAGCUAGCUUGACUGCGAGCGUGACGGCGCGAGCAGGUGCGAAAGCAGGUCAUAGUGAUCCGGUGGUUCUGAAUGGAAGGGCCAUCGCUCAACGGAUAAAAGGUACUCCGGGGAUAACAGGCUGAUACCGCCCAAGAGUUCAUAUCGACGGCGGUGUUUGGCACCUCGAUGUCGGCUCAUCACAUCCUGGGGCUGAAGUAGGUCCCAAGGGUAUGGCUGUUCGCCAUUUAAAGUGGUACGCGAGCUGGGUUUAGAACGUCGUGAGACAGUUCGGUCCCUAUCUGCCGUGGGCGCUGGAGAAUUGAGGGGGGCUGCUCCUAGUACGAGAGGACCGGAGUGGACGCAUCACUGGUGUUCGGGUUGUCAUGCCAAUGGCACUGCCCGGUAGCUAAA